rnacentral:lncRNA from 1 species
GAAGCCAGGCCAAGAAGAAUCCCAGGACUGGAAGGCCUUGUGGGACGUCCCAGGUUUGUCUUGUGUCAAUAGCACUGAUACUCAAUCUCCUACUCCCAUCUGUGAGCAUGCAGACCCUACUUGCCUUCCCACAGCCUCCCUUUUCAUAUUUUUCAUGUUUCUUUAGCUCUGUCUUCAAGCCUUGUUGCUCCCGCAAAAAAACCUGCCUCUUCCUCCAGUCCUCCCAAGCAGGGGGAACAGUCCUGACACCUUUCCAAGCCCUGGUCCAUGGACAUUGUGCCCCCUUCUCCCUGCCCAUGGUGACCUGCUCCAAAACCCUCAAGGAGAAGGGAGUGUAUGUCAUUUCCUCCCUGUAAAGUAAAGAUAAUUUUGCAGGGGACUGUGUGGAUGAAAUGACAUGAUGCAUGGAAAUCCCUUAGCGUGUGCCUGGCAUGUAAACUGCAGGUGUCAUCAUUAUUACUGAGGAAUACUGAGUCCCGAACAUGGCUGUCUCAUUGGUGGACUGGGGUCUCCCCCAGGGCAUUCAUCUACUAUGUGUUUAUUGCACCCUUUUUCCAUGUGAGGCACAUGCCAGGGACUGGGCACAUGGUAUGAACAAGACACAGGUCAUCGGUGUCCUCUUGAGCUCCCUGGCUUGGCAGCAGAUGCAUACCUGGGAAGGAUGCUAGGUCAUCCGGGAACUCUACCUCCUUCAAAUCCCUAAGGACUGUGCUCCCAAUCCGCUUACGCUCAAGGAAGAACUGCCUGGAAGCCCUCCCUGGUACCAUACCCCAGCCGAUGAGUAUGUACCCCCAGAAGUACUUCCGCUCAGAGAAGAAGGAGACGGCAAGCAGGGUGUACAGGAAGGCCCAGAACCAGCCUGCUGUCAGGAUCAGAACAAAAGAGGAGGACUGCAUAUGUAUGGACCCACUCCAGAUGGCACGGGGACGGGGGGAGUAGGAAAAGUGGCAUGAGACCAGGCCCACAGAGUAUGGCUGUGCAAGUUGUUCACUCUACAAGGGCACCUGGCCGGGGUCUUACCUUGAAUGGAGGAGAAGAGCUUGAAGAUGAGGGGACAGGCCAAGACAACUACCUGGCCCCGAGGGGUGGCUGGCCAGCAGAUGAGGAAAUGGAGGCACAGACUGAUUAGAAAACCAGCUCAAGGUCAUGUUGCUGGGCUCUCUGGUGGAGCCUCUGUCUCACAGGUCACCUGCAGGCCAACACUCCCAGAAGCAGCUAGCACCAUGGUUGACCUCGUCCAGGUCCAGGGAAGGCCUCCCUCUCCAGGACUCCUUUAGAUUUCCCCAGCAUCCAGACCUCACCUGCCUAAGUGCUGUUGCCCUGGAAGCCACAGUGAGCACGAGCUCCAUCUUGCACCUUUACCAGCCAAUGGGGGUAAAGACAUUAGCUGGGUUACUCAGGCUGAAAUGCUCAAGACACUCUGUCUCAAGGGAUUUGUGGCUGUUUCAUCCUCAAGUAUAGGGGGAAUAGUGGCCAGGAAGAUCUCAGAGGUGGCUUCUGGAAGAGGAAUCUGGGUACUGGCUACCCUGCCUUGUGUCCCAUCAUUGGUCUGUCUUGCCUGUCUUGGAGCACAUUUCUCACCAAGGCCAUGUUCAAUCCCCUCAAGGGAAGCCUGAGACCACAGCUACUGCCUCGAAUCAGAAGCCCCAGCCUCAUCAUCUGGGGCCAGAGAACUAGGGCAGGAGGAGCCAAGUAGCACAGCAGGAAGCAUGAGUCCCUCCGAGGAGAAGCUGGUCUCUGAGAGGAGCACAGAAUGCAGCAGGCUGGAUAAGCCCCCUGCUGAAAUCAUGGGGUAAAAAAGAGACACAGGGGGAAUGGAGGAGCCAGAGAGAAAGCAGUGUGAUCACAGGCACACAGGACAGCAGCUCACCUUCCCAUCCUUGCUGGCUUUUGCACCCAACAGCCCAAAGCCUCCCCGCUGCAAAUUCUUUUUUUUUUUUUUUUUUGCCAGCCUCACUUCCUCUUGGGGAAGGCUGAGCUCUGGUAGAAGAAGAGAAUGAGAACUGCUGUAAAUACUUCUAAGGGGCCAGGCGUGGUGACUCAUGCUUGUAAUUCCAAGCACUUUGGGAGGCUGAGGCAGGUGGAUCACCUGAAGCCAGGAGUUCAAGAGCAGCCUGGCCAACAUGGCGAAACCCUGUCUCUACUAAAAAUACAAAAUUUAGCCAGGCAUGGUGGCGGGAGCCUGUAAUCUCAGCUCCUAGGGAGGCUGAGCCAGAAGAAUCGCUUAAACCUGGAAGCUGGAGGUUGCAGUGAGCCAAGAUCACACCACCACACUCCAGCCUGGGUGACAGAGCAAGACUCCAUCUCAAAAAGAAAAAAAAGAAAAAAAGGAAAUACUUCUAAGUUAUGUGAGAGAGUACAUACUGACAUUUUCAAUGGGUACAAUAA